CCUACGGGUGGCAGCAGUGGGGAAUAUUGCGCAAUGGGCGAAAGCCUGACGCAGCGACGCCGCGUGAGGGAUGAAGGUCUUCGGAUCGUAAACCUCUGUCAGCAGGGAAGCACGGUCACUGUGCUAAUCAGCAGUGAAUUGACGGUACCUGCAAAGGAAGCACCGGCUAACUCCGUGCCAGCAGCCGCGGUAAUACGGAGGGUGCGAGCGUUAAUCGGAAUUACUGGGCGUAAAGCGCUCGUAGGCGGUAUGUCAAGUCAAGGGUGAAAUCCCCGCGCUCAACGUGGGAACUGCCUUUGAAACUGGCAAACUGGAGUGUGUGAGAGGAUAGUGGAAUGCCAGGUGUAGGAGUGAAAUGCGUAGAUAUCUGGAGGAACAUCAGUGGCGAAGGCGACUAUCUGGCACAUAACUGACGCUGAGGAGCGAAAGCGUGGGUAGCAAACAGGAUUAGAUACCCCAGUAGUC
rnacentral:rRNA from 1 species